UUUUUUUAGUUUAUGUUAAAGGUAUUUUCUGCCCAAUGAUUAAUUAAAUGGCUGCAGUAUUUUGACUGUACAAAGGUAGCAUAAUAAUUAGUUUUUUAAUUGAGGACUUGAAUGAAAGGAUAGAUGAGGGAUUAAUUUUAUUAUUCUUAACGCUUUAAUUUAAUUUUUUAGUUAAAAAGCUAAAUUGAUUUUUAGGGACGAUAAGACCCUAUAGAACUUCAAGUUUAGUUUUUUUUUGGUUUUUUCUGGUAAAUUUUAAAAUAAUUUUUAUUAAACUUUUAAUUGGGGUGAUUAGUAAAUUUAGCAGGCUUUAUUUUUUUAUUUCAUUAAUUAGUGUUUUUAUGAUCCUCAUUUUAGAUAAUAAGAUAAGUUACCUUAGGGAUAACAGCGUUAUUUCAAUUGAAAGUUCAUAUUAAUAUUGAAGUUUGCGACCUCGAUGUUGAAUUAAGAUAAAUUUAAGGUGUAGAAGCUUUAAAAUUGAGUCUGUUCGACUCUUAAAAUCUUACA
rnacentral:rRNA from 1 species